CCCAUGGCCGCCUACCCCUACCGCCCGGCGCUGGAGCCGGCGCCGCCCCUGCUCCGGGCACGGCGCUGCCGGACCAGAGCUUCCUGUGGAACGUCUUCCAGAGGGUCGAUAAAGACAGGAGCGGGGUGAUCUCGGACAACGAGCUGCAGCAGGCGCUGUCCAACGGUACAUGGACGCCAUUCAACCCAGUAACUGUCAGGUCAAUCAUAUCCAUGUUUGACCGAGAGAACAAGGCUGGCGUCAACUUCAGUGAGUUCACCGGUGUCUGGAAGUACAUCACCGACUGGCAGAACGUGUUCCGCACGUACGACCGCGACGACUCGGGCAUGAUCGACAAGAACGAGCUCAAGCAGGCCCUCUCAGGUUUUGGGUACCGGCUUUCGGACCAGUUCCAUGACAUUCUCAUUCGCAAGUUCGACAGGCAGGGCCGGGGGCAGAUCGCUUUCGACGACUUCAUCCAAGGCUGCAUUGUCUUACAGAGACUGACAGACAUAUUCCGGCAUUAUGACACGGACCAGGACGGCUGGAUUCAGGUGUCCUACGAGCAGUACCUGUCCAUGGUCUUCAGCAUCGUGUGACCC